rnacentral:ncRNA from 1 species
UGAAGUGGGGAAAUGUUCCAUGUGAACAUCACUUGGACAUGGCCAGUUAGUCGAUCCUAAGAUAUGGGGAAUCCUUGUAUCAAGGAUGCACUCUGCAUGAACAUCGAAAGAAAAUUGGGUUAAUAUUCUCGAAUCGGGGCAUGGUGGUGGACGACAAUGUUAAGAAAUUUGGAGAUGUCAUUGGGGGCCUGGGAAGAGUUAUCUUUUCUUUUUAAUGACUUUUCCACCCUAAAAUUGGUUCAACCAGAGAUAGGGUCCAACAUAUGAAAGAGAACCACACGUCUUGCAGUGUUUGGUACCCCCUCGGCGGUGAUUGUAAAUAUGAUGAACCGAGUACCAUCCAUGCCUGAUCAUACUCAUAUCUGCCUCCUUGGAUUUUUCAAUGUCCACUA